rnacentral:rRNA from 1 species
CGUAGGGGGCAAGCGUUGUCCGGAAUUACUGGGCGUAAAGGGAGCGUAGGCGGUCUUUUAAGUUAGAUGUGAAAUACCCGGGCUUAACUUGGGAGGUGCAUCUAAAACUGGGGGACUUGAGUGUAGGAGAGGAAAGUGGAAUUCCUAGUGUAGCGGUGAAAUGCGUAGAUAUUAGGAGGAACACCAGUGGCGAAGGCGACUUUCUGGACUAUAACUGACGCUGAGGCUCGAAAGCGUGGGGAGCAAACAGGAUUAGAUACCCUGGUAGUCCACGCUGUAAACGAUGAAUACUAGGUGUAGGGGGUAUCGACUCCCCCUGUGCCGCAGCUAACGCAAUAAGUAUUCCGCCUGGGGAGUACGGCCGCAAGGUUG